UUGAAAAUCAGAUUUAUUAUCAAGAAUUACUUCUUUAGGAUGAUCAUCAAAGUAAGAUGAAAUAUCAAAUUAUUCAUCAACCCAAAAUUCUUGGUUUUCAUAUGGAGUCUGUGUUCAGCAUGAAUGGAUUUUUGAAAAACAAAAAUAAUUGGGCAGAUACUUAAUUUUAGGUUAUGUGUAGUCAGGACUUAUUCUGCUAAAAACUCUUAAGGCCACAACAAAUUGAAGAUUUGUUCUACGGAUUUUUGCCCCCCAAAAAUGGAGCGAGCGAGCGAAAAAAAUAAAAUAAAAAAUUCUAUCUUUUGUUAAAUCACAGACGAGCGAAAAAUAAAAAAUACAUAUAUUGUCUAUGUAAAUUGAUGAAUUUUGCCAAAUAAAUGCACAAUAUCUGCAAAAUACCAGUACAGAUCAUUUAGAAGUAAUAACUGCAGGCUGUCAACUGGUCUUACUGUUUCCUACUUUUUUGAAUUUUCAUUAUUUUUUCCUACUUUUUCUUUAAAAACGCAUAUUAUUCAUACUUUUUGAUUUUGGUGGAUGUAAUAUUUAUGUGACUGAAAUCCCUAAUCAUUAUAAAAAAGUGUUUAAGUAUAUUUGAAGCUUGAUUGGUGCCAUUUCUACACUAUACAUGUAUAAUACUGAGCUUGAUGGGACCUGUAGCUGAGAAUGUGUGCCAUCAGUCCUCUCUACAUCAUUCUGUUGAAAGGUUGAUGCCACACAUCCAGUUCACAAGUCCCCAAGCUGUGCCGUUUCCUGUGACCAGAAAUUAUUGGUAAAAUUGAAUUGCAAUCCAAUGGUAAGUGUUUUAAACAUUACUACUAUUUGUGGAAUAUUCCUAUUUUUUCCUUUUUUUUUAUACUUUUUAAAGAAAAUUAUUCCUAUUUUUUUCCUACUUUUUAAAGAUUAUGACAGUUGACAGCCUGUAACUGAGGUUUACCGGUAGCUCUUAUCCAAUGUUUGUAAAAAUAAAUACAAACUGUAAAAAAAUGUCCAAUAGCUGUUCUGCUUACUCACACCAGGUAGUGAUUACUAAAAUUUAACAUGGUACACCGUAGUUUUCAUUAGCAAAGUUAUAUAAGAAGCUCAGUUUUCUGACAAUGAUGGUUUAAUAACAUGACACAAUAAGUAAUACAAUAAAUAUCAAGCAUAAGCAGUGAUUUUUCUUCGUGUUGUACUUUACAGCCUGUGCCUUUUUGAUUGGGGAUAAAGUGUGAUAAACCAUGAAAUUGUGAAAAUUGAAACAUUAUUAUUAGGAUUAUAAAUAAAAGUUUAUUUUAAAAGUUUGGUUUAUUUUUUUGGAAAUUUUGGCCAGAUUUUUUCGAAAAAAUGUUACUUUUUGCCAUUGGGAAACAGCCUUUUUUACUUUUUGUAAUUUGGACACAGCCUGUAAGAGGCUGUAAUUUUGGGCAAAAACAAAUACUGAUACAAAAUAUCUCGAAUUUGUAUUAGUUCUAAAUAUCAUAGGUUAUGAUAUUUUACAAUACUCGGUGCAUUGAUUUUGUUAGUUUAGCACUGUACAAAUUAGAGAUGAGAAGUUUAUGUUUUGUAAAGUAAAAAAAACCCAUAACUUCCCAAUGAAAGAAAAAGAAAAAAUAGGUAGUAAAAGUUUUGUGUUUAAAUAUAUAUAAAGUCCAUCAAAUCCAAGUAUAGUUGUUGAGGUCCAGAAAGUUUCUUCACUUUCGCACUAAUGUUAAAUUCAUGUUUUGGGAGCAUUAUGUACAUCUUGGACUUAGCCUUCAACAGUUCAAACUAAUACAUAGGAGUCUCAUACAUUCAAACUAAUAGAUAGGAGUCUCAUACAAUUCAAACUAAUAGAUAGGAGUCUCAUACAAUUCAAACUAAUAGAUAGGAGUCUUAUACAACAGUUCAAACUAAUAGAUAGAAGUCUCAUACAAUUUAAAUUAUAUUCGACACUCUUUGUCCAGUUCAACGGCGACAAUAAUUUGCAUGUUAAUGUUUAAUAUUUUAACUUAAUCAAUACCAACAAGUUUAUUGCAGAUUUCUACCAAACGUACGCAUAUCGGACACAUUUCACAUCCUGAUGUUGAUGCGGCUGAAAUAUAAAAUUACUAAAAUCAUCUGUGAUGCAACGACUCAUUGCCUUGAGGGAAAAUUAACAUUUCCAUUUGUGUCUUUGGCCGACAUGACAAUGCCAUUUUUUAUGCCCCCGGAUCGAAUGAUCGGGGCAUAUUGUUUUUGGCCUGUCUGUCUGUCUGUCAUUCUGUCCCAAAACUUUAACCUUGGUUAAAGUUUUGCGAUAACUUUUGAAAUAUUGAACAUAGCAACUUGAUAUUUAGCAUGCAUGUGUAUCUCAUUGAGCUGCACAUUUUGAGUGGUGAAAGGUCAAGGUCAUCCUUCAAGGUCAAAGGUCAAAGAAAAGAUCAAAGCAGCGCAUUAGGGGCAUUGUGUUUCUUACAAACGCAUCUCUUGUUUUACCAUAAACCAAUGUAAUAACGCAAAGCGUUAUUAAAGUCUAUGUCGUAAAAUACGUAGGCUAAAUUACACUUAAUCAUUUAAUAAAUAGGUGCAGCAAAUUUGUUGCUGCAUGCGCAAAAUAAAAAUAUUUUUAUUUCCUUUUAAGAUUUUUAGGUGCGGCAAAUCUGACGAACAUUUUAUCAGUUUGUUGUGGCCUAAGCUAAGCCUUUUGGCAUGAACUAGUCAGCUGUAUUUUGAUGCCCCUAUGGAGUGGGAGGCAUUGAGCAAUUCACUAGUCCGUCCAUCUUUCCAAAGGAAUGUCAGUAUUUACAUCUUGAAGAUUGUAUUUUGAACUCCUCUUAAACAACUGGGUUAAUUUGAAUAAGCUUUCAAGUUUGAAUUACCUCAACAGAUGAUUACAUGUAUGAAGAAAGGAAUUUUUGCUUUCACCAGUUUUGGAAUACUUAUGGCACUUUGUCUGUUUUUGAGAUAUGGAAGUUUUGUAUUUUCAACUCAUCUUUAACUGCAUGUCAGUUUUGCUCAAACUUUCACAGUUUAAUAACCUAUAUGUGUGGAUGCACCAAGGGGGCGAAUUAUAUAGUCGAGAUAUCAAAGACUGUUUUACACAUUCAAAGCUUACUGUGCGCAGGCUAUCCUAAUAUCAAACAAAAAAUCUGUCAAAGGGACCUUUGCAUGUUUUGAUAUAUCGACAAAAUUGAAAAAAUUGUUUCAGAUUUUAAAAUGUUUUUAUGUUUUUUUGCAUGGUAAAAGUAAUACUGAACGUUUACCUAGCUCUUACACAUCCAUUAUAUGCAUCUUUUGCCGAUUAAAAAACCUGAAAAUAAAAAAGUGAUAAAAACUUAAAAAGAUUGCAUGAUUUGGAACGUUUUGUUGUUAUCUAUAUAUAGAGAAUAACAGGUUAUUGUCCCAUCGUUUUGUAAUAUAUCAGGCGAGGCUUAGACAAAUAUGACGGCGAGGCUUGCCGAGCCGUUAUUUUAUUCGUGCAGAGCCUUAUAUAUUACACAACGAUGGGACAGUAACCUGUUUUUCUGUUUUCAUACCACAUUUUCCUAAAAAUCUGCAAAACAAUCCAUUUCUUUAUAUUUAAUAUGUACGGAUCCCCGCUGAUUUUGCUGAUCCGGCUUUUACACGUUGACAUACAUGUAGAAACGGUGUUCAAACAGACAACACGAAUAAUCACUUAUUUUAAACAUCGUAUAGAGAAAAAAAGUUGUUUGCACUAUGAAUGGGAAGAGUACAACCGCUUUAAUUAUAAACGUCUUGAAUUGGAGAUCAGGAAUGGACUGCAGUGACAAAUUUAAUCUAAGAACACACUUCACCGAAUAGUUUGGAGACGCCAUUUUGGAGAUGUGUAUUGAAAUUGACAUUUUGAUGAUGGUUUCAAUAAUGACAUAAGCGUGUUAAAUCGCUUGUUUAAAUAGUUGAGGAUAAGCAUACAGUUAUCAUUUGUCUUGACUUUCUGUGCAAAAUUUGCGAGUGCAAAGACUAUAUCGAUAUUUAAGAUUUAUUGCCCCAUUGAUGACGUCAUUUAACUUAUGCAGUGCCGGCUGUUGUGAUUUUUAAAAAAUAAACGUUUUUGUGAUUUAUGACUUUAAACUAGAAUAAAAUAUGUACGUUCUUGGUGUCAAAUUGUUUGUUUUGUUGAAUCUGAUUCAUGUUGAUAGAAAUUGUUGACUUUAUUGAAAAUCCCACGUAACUCCAAACAUUGACUGAUACAAGAACUUCCUGUUGACCAUGAUAUAAAAAAAUAUAUCAGGCAACGUUAUAUCAGGCAGAUAUCAAUGCGGUGGUAUGAUAAAAUAUUAUAUUGUGACAUUAGGAGAAUUGCCUAUAUAAAGUACAAAAUACAAUUAAUAUCAUGUAAGCAUGGAUGGCCAAGUGGUUUAAGCGCCAGACAUUUACUCCAAGGGUCAGUGGUUUGAACCCAGGUGUAGAUAACUUAUUUUUAGCUCAACUGAGCACAACGUGCUCAUGAUUAGCUUUUGUGAUUGCUUUUCGUGCGUCGUGAGCCGUCAACAUUUGCCUUGUUAACUCUCUAGAGGCCACAUUUAUAGUCCAAUCUUCAUUAAAUUUGGUCAGAAGAUUGGUCUUAAUCAUAUCUUGGAUGAGUUCGAAAAUGAUUACGUUUGCUUGAGAAACAUGGCUGCCAAGGGGCUGGGCAUUUUUCCUUAAAUGGCUAGAUAUGGCUAUAGUAAAAUCUUGUUAACACUAUAGAGGCCACAUUUACUGUCCAAUCUUCAUGAAACUUGGUCUGAAGAUUCACCCCAAUAAUAUCUUGGAAGAGUUCAAAAAUGAUGCCAGUUGGUUGAAAAACCUGGCCACCAUGGGGGCGGGGCAUUUUUCCUUAUAUGGCUAUAGUAAAACCUUGUUAAUACUAGAGGCCACAUUUAUUUUCCGAUCUUCAUGAAACUUGGUCAGAAGAUUUGUCCUAAGAAUAUCUUGUUAUCUCAGGUGAGCGACUUUGGGCCUUUCAGGCCCUCUUGUUAUUUAUUAUCCGCGCCAAAAUUUCGGAAGGGGGAUAUAGUAAUAGUCUCCAUCCGUUUGUCUGUCCGUCCGUCCUAAACUUGGUCCAGAGCAUAACUCCAAAUCUAUUCAAUGGAUUUACUUUAAACUUAGAUUAUAAACAGAUGGCAACUAGAGGAAGUGCAGUGACCAAGAACCAUAACUCUAUCUACCUAAGUUUUUAGCUCACCUGUGCACAACGUGCUCAUGGUGAGCUUUUGUGAUCACUUUUUGUCCGUCGUCCGUUGUGCGGCGUCAACAUUUGCCUUGUUAACUCAAUAGAGGCCACAUUUAUUGUCCGAUCUUCAUGAAAUUUGGUCCGAACAUUUGUUUGAUUGAUAUCUUGGAUGAGUUCGAAAAUGGUUACAUUUGCUUGAAAAACAUGGCUGCCAAGGGGCGGGGCAUUUUUCCUUAUAUGGCUAUAGUAAAAUCUUGUUAACACUCUAGAGGCCACAUUUAUUGUCUGAUCUUCAUAAAACUUGGUCAGAAGAUUCAUCCCAAUAAUAUGUUGGACGAGUUUGAAAAUGAUGCCGGUUGGUUGAAAAACAUGGCAUUUUUCCUUUUAUGGCUAUAGUAAAACCUUGUUUACAAUGUAGAGGCGACAUUUAUUUUCUGAUCUUCAUAAAAUUGCUCAGAAGAUUUGUCCCACUGAUAUCUUGGAUGAGUUAAAAAAUGGUAACCUUUGCUUGAAAAACAUGGCUGCCAAGGGGCGGGGCAUUUUUCCUUAUAUGGCUAUAUAUGGCUAUUGUAAAAUCUUGUUAACACUCUAGAGGCCACAUUUAUUGUCCAAUCUUUAUGAAACUUGGUCAGAAGAUUCAUCCCAAUAAUAUCUUGGACGAGUUCGAAAAUGAUGCCGGUUGGUUGAAAAACAUGGCUGCCAGGGGGCGGGGCAUUUUUCCUUAAAUGGCUAUAGUAAAACCUUGUUAACCCUCUAGAGGCCACAUUUAUUGUCCAAUCUUGAUGAAAUAUGGUCAGAAGAUUUGUCUUAAUGAUAUCUUGGAUGAGUUCGAAAAUGGUAACGUUUGCUGGAAAAACAUGGCUGCCAAGGGGCGGGGCAUUUGUCAUUAUAUGGCUAUAUAAGGCUAUAGUAAAAUCUUAUUAACACCGGUUGGUUGAAAAACAUUGCCACCACGGGGGCGGGGCUAUUUUCCUUAUAUGGCUAUAGUAAAACCUUGUUAACACUCUAGAGGUCACAUUUAUUUUCCGAUCAUCAUGAAACUUGGUCAGAAGAUUUGUCCCAAUGAUAUCUUGGAUGAGUUCGAAAAUGGUUUUGGUUGCUUUAAAAA